CCCUUAGACGUUCUGGGCCGCACGCGCGCUACACUGACCAGUGCAACAAGCAUCCGUCCUUGGCCGAUAGGUCUGGGUAAUCUUUGAACGCUGUUCGUGAUUGGGAUAGACCUUUGCAAUUAUGGGUCUUCAACGAGGAAUUCCUAGUAAACGCAAGUCAUCAGCUUGCAUUGAUUACGUCCCUGCCCUUUGUACACACCGCCCGUCGCACCUACCGAUUGAAUGGUCCGGUGAAAUCUCGGGACGGCGGCUUGGUCGCUUGCGUCCGACUGCUGAAACUUGAUUAAACCAUAUCAUUUAGAGGAAGGUGAAGUCGUANCA
rnacentral:rRNA from 1 species